rnacentral:rRNA from 1 species
AGAGUUUGAUCCUGGCUCAGAAUGAACGCUGGCGGCGUGCCUAACACAUGCAAGUCGGAUGUGCCGCAAGGUGCAUGGCAGACGGGUGAGUAACGCGUGGGGAAUCUACCUUUUUGUGGGGAAUAACGUUCCGAAAGGAAUGGUAAUACCGCAUGUGACCACUUGUUGGAAUAUGGGUGGUGAAAGCCGGGGACCGCAAGGCCUGGCGCAAGAAGAGGAUCCUGCGUCUGAUUAGCUAGUUGGUGAGGUAACGGCCCACCAAGGCAACGAUCAGUAGCCGGCCUGAGAGGGUGAUCGGCCACACUGGAACUGAGACACGGUCCAGACUCCUACGGGAGGCAGCAGUGGGGAAUUUUGCGCAAUGGGCGAAAGCCUGACGCAGCAACGCCGCGUGGGUGAUGAAGGUCUUCGGAUCGUAAAACCCUGUCGUCGAGGACGAAGGUCGGAGUGUUAAUAGCAUUUUGGCUUGACGGUACUCGGAGAGGAAGCCCCGGCUAACUCUGUGCCAGCAGCCGCGGUAAUACAGAGGGGGCAAGCGUUAUUCGGAAUUAUUGGGCGUAAAGGGCGCGUAGGCGGUUUGUUAAGUCAGAUGUGUAAUCCCCGAGCUCAACUUGGGAACUGCAUCUGAGACUGGCAGGCUAGAGUACUGGAGAGGGUGGUGGAAUUCCUCGUGUAGCGGUGAAAUGCGUAGAGAUGAGGAGGAACACCAGUGGCGAAGGCGGCCACCUGGACAGUAACUGACGCUGAGGCGCGAAAGUGUGGGUAGCAAACAGGAUUAGAUACCCUGGUAGUCC